UAGUGAAAAAUGUGGAAAGUU
rnacentral:piRNA from 1 species